UGAAAAUGGAUCAUGGAUUUUCUGCUUCAACCCGACUGUUCUCCAUCGAAUCCAUAUAAGCACGUCUUGGGCUCACUUUCGUCGCACCAUCCUCCAUUAUCUCUACUUCUCAUUCUCUUUCGCGAAUAUAAGUUCAGUAACCGCACCAACCACAUACCAGACCCAUAGACGCUCGCCACCACUUCUGGUCCAAUCAACAAAUUCUUUUUUUAGGAUUGAGACAAAUUCAUAACAAGCAUGAGGUAUAAGAAGACUUGCCGAGCAUACCUUAAAUUGCGUCUUGUUCAACAUCAUCCAUUAAAGAAAGUAAAUAGCAUGUCGUGUUCUUGAGAUUUAACAUCAAAUUAAAUGGUCAGACGAACUCAAUUACACACAAUCGGCAAGUCUACCGGUCGUGAUACAAUAAAGUCGGUAAGACCGAGUAACAAUCCAAGGACAUAAUGGCGCGUCUCUCGAUACUAAACCUCUAUCGAGUCAUAGUCUAGUAAUAUUUAGUGGAUGUUUGGAUUUCUAUUAACUACUAAAGCAAAUACGAAUGCAAAUAUGAAAGCAAAGCAAGCAGAAAACGAAUAUAGGUGAAAUCAGGUGAUGAGAUAGUAGCUACCUUAAAAAGAAUUAUGUUAACUCGUCACAGCUCUCAGGAUUGGAUAAUUAGAUUUUGCUAUCUGGAUCUUAAAAUACACUAAUCUAGACCUAAGACUGGAUCGUAGAUCACUCUCCAAACAUGACGCAAUCUAGUAUCUAGGGAAGUGUGUAAAAUCACUUGUCUAGGGUUCAGAUCACCUUUCAGUCUCUCUAAACGAAUUAUAAGUAUCCUAAAUUUGGAUAUCCUCUUGGUACCACCGGAAAAGUACAUCCAGGAAGUGUAAGAGAUGUAAGGGGUAGUGAAUUUAACAGGUUUCUAACACAGGAUAACAAGGAUGCUAAAGUUCAUUACUUUGGAAACAUCACAUGUAUUAUGCUCUAAUAACCUUGUAAAGAUGCUUAUGACAAUUUAAUGCCCAUUGCAUCUCACUAGUUUUUCUUUGCACAUUCAUACUUAGAUCCAUAAAAGUUCGGAUUUUUCUUCAGUAUGUAUAGUUGGCGUUUAUACCAAGGUUUGGGAACGAGAAGGUAAUACUUGCUUACCAUACACCGCUGUAAGUAUGAUGACCAUGUUGUACAAGAUCAAAGAUGACGAUGACAUAAUUGAAUUGUCCCCCCAGUCAAUGUUCUUCGGUGACAUGACAUUUUUAUCAACCUUAGAGAGCAUCUUACACAAAAAAAAGUAUGGUCUGGAAAAAGUUGGGCUCCCACCUGUGAAUGAAUCUUCAACAAAGUUUGAUUAUGUAAGCAUAAAGAGAUACAUGGUCGACUGUCUUAGGGUGUCUGGGAGACAUGGAGUGACAAUUUUAACAUUUCAUAUUUUGUACUUUCUAUAUUUAGAAACUUGUAUUCGUAUUUCAUUUCUAAUCUUGUAAUCCGAGACUUCGAUAAUAGUGGAAAUCCGUAUUUAUAUAAAUCAUAUUAGAAUCA